GACAGAGGGUGCGAACGUUGCUCGGAAUCAUUGGGCGUAAAGCGCGUGUAGGCGGCAUGGCACGUCAGGUGUGAAAGCCCGGGGCUCAACCCCGGCAGUGCACCCGAAACGACGAUGCUAGAGUGCUGGAGAGGCGGGUGGAAUUCCUGGUGUAGAGGUGAAAUUCGUAGAUAUCAGGAGGAACACCGGUGGCGAAGGCGGGUCUCUGGGCCGUAACUGACGCUGAGGAGCGAAAGCGUGGGGAGCGAACAGG
rnacentral:rRNA from 1 species